rnacentral:rRNA from 1 species
GAUGAACGCUGUCUACAGGCUUAACACAUGCAAGUCGAGGGGAAACGACGGGGAAGCUUGCUUCCCCGGGCGUCGACCGGCGCACGGGUGAGUAACGCGUAUCCAACCUGCCUCUGACUGAGGGAUAACCCGUCGAAAGUCGGCCUAAUACCUCAUGGCAUCGUCUGCGGGCAUCCAACGACGAUUAAAGAUUUCAUCGGUCAGGGAUGGGGAUGCGUCUGAUUAGCUUGUUGGCGGGGUAACGGCCCACCAAGGCUACGAUCAGUAGGGGUUCUGAGAGGAAGGUCCCCCACAUUGGAACUGAGACACGGUCCAAACUCCUACGGGAGGCAGCAGUGAGGAAUAUUGGUCAAUGGGCGGGAGCCUGAACCAGCCGAGUAGCGUGCAGGAUGACGGCCCUAUGGGUUGUAAACUGCUUUUAUGCGGGGAUAAAGUGAGGGACGUGUCCUUCAUUGCAGGUACCGCAUGAAUAAGGACCGGCUAAUUCCGUG